rnacentral:rRNA from 1 species
UGGGGAAUAUUGCACAAUGGGCGCAAGCCUGAUGCAGCCAUGCCGCGUGUAUGAAGAAGGCCUUCGGGAUGUAAAGUACUUUCAGUCGGGAGGAAGGUGGUAAGGUUAAUAACCUUGGCAAUUGACGUUACCGACAGAAGAAGCACCGGCUAACUCCGUGCCAGCAGCCGCGGUAAUACGGAGGGUGCAAGCGUUAAUCGGAAUUACUGGGCGUAAAGCGCACGCAGGCGGUUGAUUGAGUCAGAUGUGAAAUCCCCGGGCUUAACCCGGGAAUUGCAUCUGAUACUGGUCAGCUAGAGUCUUGUAGAGUGGAGUAGAAUUCCAUGUGUAGCGGUGAAAUGCGUAGAGCUGUGGAAGAAUACCGGUGGCGAAGGCGGCCCCCUGGACAAAGACUGACGCUCAGGUGCGAAAGCGUGGGGAGCUAACAGG